rnacentral:rRNA from 1 species
AUGGCGAGGCCGGAGCUUGCGAGAUCCGUCUCCGGUCACCAUGGUGCAGAGACGACAAUGAUGGCAAGAGGGCACAAACCUUGCCCUGAUCGAGGAGGAGAAGGAGGGGCGCACCUAGCCGCCAGCCCUGCUCUGCUCGAGGAGGAGGGGCGGGAGGGGUCUGCUCCUAGGGCGACCAAGAGGUCCUGCCCGAGCUCAAGCAUGGCCAUGAUGACCCACCACGGCAGCGACGGUGCUGCUGCACUUGUGCUAGUCAGUGGGGAGUAA